rnacentral:tRNA from 1 species
GCCUUAGCUCAGCUGGGAGAGCGCAACACUGGCAGUGUUGAGGUCAGCGGUUCGAUCCCGCUAGGC